CCUACGGGUGGCAGCAGUAGGGAAUCUUCCACAAUGGGCGAAAGCCUGAUGGAGCAACGCCGCGUGGGUGAAGAAGGUCUUCGGAUCGUAAAACUCUGUUGUUAGAGAAGAAAGUGCGUGAGAGUAACUGUUCACGUUUCGACGGUAUCUAACCAGAAAGCCACGGCUAACUACGUGCCAGCAGCCGCGGUAAUACGGAGGAUGCGAGCGUUAUCCGGAUUAAUUGGGUUAAAAGGGUGCGCAGGCGGGCCUUUAAGCCGGAGGUGAAAUCGCGGGCCUCACCCCCGCCGAGCCGUCGGAACUGGGGACCUUGAGUGCGGCGGAGGCAUGCGGAAUGCGCGGUGGAGCGGUGAAAGGCAUAGAUAUCGCGCAGAACCCCGAUGGCGAAGGCGGCGUGCCGGGCCGCCACUGACGCUGAGGCACGAAAGCGCGGGGAUCGAACAGGAUUAGAUACCCCGGUAGUC
rnacentral:rRNA from 1 species